UACGAAGGGUGCGAGCGUUAUUCGGAUUUAUUGGGCGUAAAGGGUUCGUAGGCGGGAGGAUAAGUUAAGUGUGAAAUAUCUGGGCUUAACCCAGAAAGUGCAUUAAAACUGUUUUUCUUUGAGUGCUAAAGAGGGUGGUGGAAUUGCUGGUGUAGGAGUGCAUCCGUAGAGAUCAGCAGGAACAUCGGAGGCGAAGGCGGCCACCUG
rnacentral:rRNA from 1 species